UUUCUCACUUUUACUUCUCUGAUUCUCUCUGCCAUCCUGCUCGGGGGAGUGAGUUAGUGAGUGGCUGUGUGGUACUCAGUUGCCAGCAGGCAUUAAACCUUAACUGGUAUAAAGAUGAAGAAUGAUGAUAUAAUAGCUCCAGUUGUCUUCUCUCCUAUAUAACCUAAUGAUUAUCACUAGUGUUGGGAAAUGAAUUUUCAGAAUUUAUGAUUCUCCAGGAAAAGAGAUUCUUGAGCAACAAACCGAAUGAGUUAUUGAGAAGCAAGGUGACGUGCAAGCAAAGUGACCAGAAAAAGAGCAUUUUAUCUUCCUCUAAGUAUGACUUCAACAUUCUCGUUUUGGGAAUCUAAUUUAAAAAUAAUUCAGUGCUUCACUGCUUAAUUCUCUUGUGCUGUUGAUGUGGGAGACUUCAGAGUGACAACAAAAAUAAGCUAGCUGAGGAAAUAUAACUUGCUGAAGGCGGUUACCUUUGUUCAAAGCCAACUGAGACAGCACCAGCACUCAGUAAUUACAGCCAUACAGUUUCCAGGAGACUCCUUCUUCACCAGCCCUGUCGUCUCAUGUCCCCAUUUGUAACACUGUUCAUUAUAUUCAACCUGCUGCCGUCACUCCAGAGCUUUCAAAAGCACCUGACAGAAGAAGAGCAGUGAAUGUCUCUUAAUCUUAAAGCUUUUUGAGAAACUGCAGCGGUAAUCAACAGUACUCAUCAGUAAUUUCCAACUGCAAUGCAGCAAAACCAUGUUUUCUCUUCCCUGGUGAAAUGCCUUCAGCUGGUGGAGCCCAGCCGUGCCUCAGUGGCCCUUUAACCACUUCCACUUGCUCUGACCUCUCAUUCUCAGCUUUGCAGUUGUUAUGGUUGGCACAGUGUUCAUCUACCUGAAGGAAAACCAGCCUGAGUCAAGAAGAAAGAGUUUCCCUUUAUUUGCUGUGCUAAAAUAAAGCUCUGCUAAGGGAACAUGAAGGCUGCAAAGGCACGCUUUCAAUAGAGGGAGGAGACUCCAGGAUUAAUAUGAGUCACCAAUGGACACAUACUGAUGGUGCUGGGACAACCAAGAAGUUGCACUUCAUCCUGGCUAGAAGCAAGCUGGGAGCCUUGCAGUCAUAAUCCGAGGCAUUUGUGCCCUGGUGCUCCUGCCUGUUUUCAGGCACCCCAGAUGUGAUCCUAGGCCAGAGAAGUGAGGAGCAUCUCUCAGCAGUCGAAGCAGGCUCUGCAGCUGAGCCACUGCACAUGGAGCUGUGGCCAGUCCAAAUUCAGAGUACAGAGCCUUUCUUGAGUGUGUAUUUUAAAUGUGUGGAGAGGAAAAAGCUACCCAGGACACACUGAUUUUGUCCCAAGCCAAAAUGUGGGGCUUUUUCUGCUCUGCUUGGAUUGGAUUACACUAUUCCUAUCAGUAUGGCAUCAGUGUACCAUAAACACCAUGACUGACAGCUGUCUUUUCUCAUGGAGCAAAUCUGCUGCAUUACUUAUGAACAGGACAAUGGGGCCCCAAUGAGUCACCCUAUUCAUAUAUUUUUGGAACCCAGAGGAAUUGGGUUCUAUUGGGGACUAUUUACAGAUUAUAACAGUUGGUAGUUGAAUGUUUUAUUUUCAUUCCCAGUUGGUACAAUAUGUUCACAGCUGAUGCUAAUGGCUUGCCCAUUUGAUAUCACAUAUGGUCCACUAUUUGGGUCUCCUAAAGCUUUCUUUUGUGGUCAAGCUGCUUUAAAACUUGUGUAUGCUUAGGUUUGUUCUGUCUGCUGGAAAGGUGAAUAUGAAACUGAAACUGGGCAGCGCUGGAGUAACUCAGCAGUUCUGUUGAUAAAGAUUCAAAGAAUUUUGAAUGUCUGAAUGUCCCAUAAAGAAUAUUUUUAUAUAAAAUUGAAUAAAAACAGAUGUCUUACAACAUCAUGUAAAAUUCUGAAAAAAGUAUCCUUUCCUCUUUCUUUGUCUUUGAAGCUGUGAUUGAGUUACCCUCCAAUGUAUGGAUAUGACUGAGCAUCAUCAGGACUGCUUUUGCUGCGUGUUCAGUUGUAUUGGAAACCAAUUUAUACAUAAUUUUUAUUGUUUAAGUCACAAUUUGUAUUUUUAUUUGCAUAUGACUGUUCUGAUAAUGUUUUGUGAAAAGAUCUAAGAAAGCAAAUUAAUUUUUCCUUUUGUUUCUAGAAUAAGAGCAUAGGAAAAGCAAACUAAAAGAAUAUGAGUGCACAAAUUAAAAUUACAAGCCUGUCCGAAGUUGUUCUCCUAUGAUACACAGUGUUUAUACCAACUCUGAAACAUAACUGAUAAAGCCACAAUCUCAUAAAAAGGUUAUUUCCAAAACUAUUGCAUUACCCUCUGAGAGCUAAAAUUCUCAUUUAUUCGUAGGAGUAGAUCAUAAUAGCUCUAAUUCCCUGAGAAGUGGGCAUUGUAUGGUAAUUAAGCAGGGUAGUACAUUAAUUGUCCUCCACUUCACCUCUAGAUGUUUAACUCCUUAUCUAGUCAACCAGCAAACAAUAAUGCUCACUUAUUUGUGCCUUACAGUUCAAAUAAUUUUUUUAACUAGGUAAUUUAUUGGAAAUAAAGCAGAAUAAGCAUAUUCAUGUGAAAGAGGUAUUGAAAUUGAGUUAGGUUACCAUUAUUUAAUACCUUUAGGUGGUAGGAUGUGGGUUUUAUGGCUGUAUUUUUCAGCCAUGCAAUUUUAGCUGAAUAAGAGCAACGUGAUUUUGCAUGCAGGAAUGUUUCUCUAACUAAUGGGACAUAUUUAGCAGUUUUUGCCACAUGGCUUCUUUCUGGUGGCCUCUCUUUCACCGAUGCCUGUGAGGGAGAGCAGGUAGGUGUGUGCUGGAAGUGUUGCCUUUGCCUGGGACAUCUGGCUUCUGGUGCUGGAUUAGAUGAGGCAUCUGGUGGUAGGAGAGAGGCUCUGGCUUGUUUAGUUUCACGGGAAGUGGUGCAUGUUGCUGGUUUAGAGUCAGUCCCUGGAAGGAGAUUGAAAUGGAACUGAAGUUGGAGGCUUUUUCAAGUGAAUAAAGUCAAUAUUCGACCUGGAGUACUAGGGAAAGAAAAAACCCAACUAAACCCAAUGUUUUUGCGAACAAAACUAAUAGAUGAGAAGUAAAAUUCUGCCCUCUAGUAUAAGCAGUUCCAGGGACUUUGAAAAUGACAGUAAAACUUUAAAAAAAGGACUAAGGAAAUAAAAUUAUUUAUUAAUGACCUCAAAAAUGGACUGUCUGCCUGAUGAUGUGGUAAAAAGUAUUUGUUAGACAUGACUUGGUCAGAAUUUGGUGAAAUUUUGGGUACUCUGACUGUACCCAAGAUAGUUAAAGAAAUUAGUGAUGUCUCUCCCAGGUUAUUAAAUAGAAAUGGAAGAUUGUGCAAGAAGAAUUUGUAUUUAUUGGACACAAAUUAAAUUAUAUUCAGGAAAGGAUAUAUUUCUCAUAAGUAGCAGGACAAAGUGUUAGGAACUAGAAACAAUACUGUUGAAAAAUUAUCUUUGGGGUCUUAUAAAUAAAUCACAGGCCCACAAGAUACCAGGAGCAGUAAAUUGUUUGAUUAUGGGUAUCUGUCAAAACAACAAUGCUACAAUGCAAAAAUGGUCAUAAUUUGGAUAUCCUGUGACAUAGGAUAUCAUACAGCACAUUCCUAGGAGUCCAUACUCAUCAGAUUUAGGGUGGCUAAGCCUGGUCUGAGCACACUGUCCUAGUCUGGGCACAGUGCUGCAGCUGUGUCAGCAGCACUGGUACACAGCUGACUGUGGAAGGGAAGCAGGGUGCUGCAGGGACAGGGCUAGGGCUCAUCGUGGAGAUGGUGUGUCUUGUGCCUUCUUUAACAGCGUGCCACCAUCUCCAGAGGCAAUCACAGCAUGUCCCUGCGUGCUGGACAGCAUGUCCUUCCCUCUGCUGUGUUGAUUCUGGCCUCACUGUGGCCUUGGGGCAUUUGCUGCAAAAUUGCAGGAUGCUCAUGUAAAGGUGGGUUUUGCAGUGUAUUGUCUAUGCCAAGGGAAUCCUGGUGGAAAGAAGUGUUACACUGGUUCUAAGCUCUGACUAACAAGAUAAUUUCUGAUUGGCGCAUGGAGAAUUAUGUACU